GGGACACGUGGUAUCCUGUCUGAAUAUGGGGGGACCAUCCUCCAAGGCUAAAUACUCCUGACUGACCGAUAGUGAACCAGUACCGUGAGGGAAAGGCGAAAAGAACCCCGGCGAGGGGAGUGAAAAAGAACCUGAAACCGUGUACGUACAAGCAGUGGGAGCACGCUUAGGCGUGUGACUGCGUACCUUUUGUAUAAUGGGUCAGCGACUUAUAUUCUGUAGCAAGGUUAACCGAAUAGGGGAGCCGAAGGGAAACCGAGUCUUAACUGGGCGUUAAGUUGCAGGGUAUAGACCCGAAACCCGGUGAUCUAGCCAUGGGCAGGUUGAAGGUUGGGUAACACUAACUGGAGGACCGAACCGACUAAUGUUGAAAAAUUAGCGGAUGACUUGUGGCUGGGGGUGAAAGGCCAAUCAAACCGGGAGAUAGCUGGUUCUCCCCGAAAGCUAUUUAGGUAGCGCCUCGUGAAUUCAUCUCCGGGGGUAGAGCACUGUUUCGGCAAGGGGGUCAUCCCGACUUACCAACCCGAUGCAAACUGCGAAUACCGGAGAAUGUUAUCACGGGAGACACACGGCGGGUGCUAACGUCCGUCGUGAAGAGGGAAACAACCCAGACCGCCAGCUAAGGUCCCAAAGUCAUGGUUAAGUGGGAAACGAUGUGGGAAGGCCCAGACAGCCAGGAUGUUGGCUUAGAAGCAGCCAUCAUUUAAAGAAAGCGUAAUAGCUCACUGGUCGAGUCGGCCUGCGCGGAAGAUGUAACGGGGCUAAACCAUGCACCGAAGCUGCGGCAGCGACGCUUAUGCGUUGUUGGGUAGGGGAGCGUUCUG
rnacentral:rRNA from 1 species